CCCGAAUGGGGAAACCCAGUGUGACUCGUCACACUAUCAUUAACUGAAUCCAUAGGUUAAUGAGGCGAACCGGGGGAACUGAAACAUCUAAGUACCCCGAGGAAAAGAAAUCAACCGAGAUUCCCCCAGUAGCGGCGAGCGAACGGGGAGGAGCCCAGAGCCUGAAUCAGCAUGUGUGUUAGUGGAAGCGUCUGGAAAGGCGCGCGAUACAGGGUGACAGCCCCGUACACAAAAGCGCAUGUGCUGUGAGCUCGAUGAGUAGGGCGGGACACGUGGUAUCCUGUCUGAAUAUGGGGGGACCAUCCUCCAAGGCUAAAUACUCCUGACUGACCGAUAGUGAACCAGUACCGUGAGGGAAAGGCGAAAAGAACCCCGGCGAGGGGAGUGAAAAAGAACCUGAAACCGUGUACGUACAAGCAGUGGGAG
rnacentral:rRNA from 1 species